rnacentral:rRNA from 1 species
GGGAUCAUUACCGAGUUAUACAACUCAUCAACCCUGUGAACAUACCUAAAACGUUGCUUCGGCGGGAACAGACGGCCCUGUAACAACGGGCCGCCCCCGCCAGAGGACCCCUAACUCUGUUUUUAUAAUGUUUUUCUGAGUAAACAAGCAAAUAAAUUAAAACUUUCAACAACGGAUCUCUUGGCUCUGGCAUCGAUGAAGAACGCAGCGAAAUGCGAUAAGUAAUGUGAAUUGCAGAAUUCAGUGAAUCAUCGAAUCUUUGAACGCACAUUGCGCCCGCCAGUAUUCUGGCGGGCAUGCCUGUUCGAGCGUCAUUACAACCCUCAGGCCCCCGGGCCUGGCGUUGGGGAUCGGCGGAAGCCCCCUGUGGGCACACGCCGUCCCUCAAAUACAGUGGCGGUCCCGCCGCAGCUUCCAUUGCGUAGUAGCUAACACCUCGCAACUGGAGAGCGGCGCGGCCAUGCCGUAAAACACCCAACUUCUGAAUGUUGACCUCGAAUCAGGAGAAACCCG